rnacentral:rRNA from 1 species
UACGUAGGUGGCAAGCGUUGUCCGGAAUUAUUGGGCGUAAAGCGCGCGCAGGCGGUCCUUUAAGUCUGAUGUGAAAGCCCACGGCUCAACCGUGGAGGGUCAUUGGAAACUGGGGGACUUGAGUGCAGAAGAGGAAAGCGGAAUUCCACGUGUAGCGGUGAAAUGCGUAGAGAUGUGGAGGAACACCGGUGGCGAAGGCGGCAUCCUGGACCGACACUGACGCUGAGGAGCGAAAGCCAGGGAGCAAACGGG